UACAGAGGUCCCGAGCGUUGUUCGGAUUCAUUGGGCGUAAAGGGUGCGUAGGCGGCGGGGCAAGUCUGAUGUGAAAUCCCGGGGCUCAACCCCGGAACUGCAUUGGAUACUGCCUUGCUAGAGUACUGGAGAGGGAACUGGAAUUUACGGUGUAGCAGUGAAAUGCGUAGAGAUCGUAAGGAAGGCCAGUGGCGAAGGCGAGUUCCUGGACAGUGACUGACGCUGAGGAGCGAAAGCGUGGGGAGCGAACAGG
rnacentral:rRNA from 1 species